rnacentral:rRNA from 1 species
UACGGGGGAGCAAGCGUUGUUCGGAUUUACUGGGCGUAAAGGGCGCGUAGGCGGCCACCGCAAGUCGACUGUGAAAUCUCCGGGCUUAACCCGGAAAGGUCAGCCGAUACUGCGGGGCUAGAGUGCAGAAGGGGCAACUGGAAUUCUCGGUGUAGCGGUGAAAUGCGUAGAUAUCGAGAGGAACACCUGCGGCGAAGGCGGGUUGCUGGGCUGACACUGACGCU